UGAUUUAUGAUUUUAACUUUCAGAUCGUCACAUCGAGUUAAGACACUGGGAUUGCUUUGUUGAUUCUUAUCAUCUCGUCUAUCAUUUGUUUAGUGGAACAAUAGAAGAGAGUUUUCAUCAAGUUCAUGACCAUUUGAUCAUAACAUAUGCAGUUUCAGGACAAGAAGUGGAGCAUAGUGUCGGUGAUGAGACUAUAAUUAUCCUUCCAGUCCCAGGUAUGUUUCAUCUUUCUCUUCAGUUUAGAAUUUCAAAUUUUUUUCUCUUAUCACUCGAAAUUACCAUCUCUUUUGUUCUUAUGUAGUAACAUAUUUUAUAGCUAACAUACUUUCAGAAUUCUAUAGAGAUUGAACAGGUUAUAGACGGAAACACGGAGAAUAAUAAUGUUAUGGUCUUUGGUUCCUAUAAUAACAUGAUCUAGGUCGAUCUCUUAUAUCUCUUAGCACAUAGCAUACAUUUAUGUUUAGUUUCUUGCAUUCAUGCAUUUUUGCUUCCUUGAUUUACAGCUUCAUUCUUUACUUGCAUCACAAACUGUCACUUCCUUGCUUAACUUGUGUUUGGUUGUUUCUUUCACUAGUUGCAUUCAUGCAUGGGUUGCUUCCUUUGAUUCAUUGUUUGGUUAUUUACUCGUCACUUCCUUGCUUAACUUGCGUUUGCUUGUUUCUUUCACUAGUUGCAUUCAUACAUGGUUGCUUCCUUGAUUCUUUACUUGCAUGAUUAACUGUCACUUCCUUGCUUAACUUGUGUUUGCUUGUUUCUUUCACUAGCUGCAUUCAUACAUGGUUGCUUCCUUGAUUCUUUACUUGCAUGAUUAAUCGUCACUUCCUUGCUUAACUUGCGUUUGCUUGUUUCUUUCACUAGUUGCAUUCAUACAUGGUUGCUUCCUUGAUUCUUUACUUGCAUGAUUAACUGUCACUUCCUUGCUUAACUUGUGUUUGCUUGUUUCUUUCACUAGCUGCAUUCAUACAUGGUUGCUUCCUUGAUUCUUUACUUGCAUGAUUAACUGUCACUUCCUUGCUUAACUUGCGUUUGCUUGUUUCUUUCACUAGCUGCAUUCAUACAUGGUUGCUUCCUUGAUUCUUUACUUGCAUGAUUAACUGUCACUUCCUUGCUUAACUUGCGUUUGCUUGUUUCUUUCACUAGUUGCGUUCAUACAUGGUUGCUUUCAUGCUAAUUUAACAACUCAUUUACACUAGUUGCUUUCAUGCUAGUCUAACUCAUUUACUUAAUUGAUGCUUUCUUUGUUUCUUGGUUGCUCAUUUUCUCAGUUCAUUUAUUAACUUGUUUGCGUGCUUGCCUUUUGAUUCUUUGUUUCCUUACUUCCUCCUUUCGUUAUUUGGCUACAUGCUUAUCUUGUUUCCAUCUCUGUUUCUUUGAUCUUUGUUUAUUAUAUAUAUCAUUCGUUGCUUAACUUCUUUGUAUGUUUCCUUACUUAAUUCUUUCAUUUUUUGCUUGCAUGCUUGACUUAUUUUCGCACUUUCCUCUUUGCUUGCUUCCACAUGAGCUUCUUUGCUCUUUUCAUUGCGUGCUUCAUUCCUUAGUUCCCUUGUGCGUGCUUUCUUGUUUCCUUCUUACUCGCAUACAUACAUUCAUGGAUACACAUGCAUACAUUCAUAGAUGAAAAUGUGUAUGUAUACUUGCAUACUUCCUUGUUUACGUACAUAAUUGAUUCGCUGUUUUUUUCUUAUUUGAUUCCUUGAUUUCUUAAUGUAUACUGGAUCUCUCCGAUGUAAAUUGGUACCAUAGGAAAUCAAUGUUAUAAAAUUUGAUUAUAUAUAAGUUAAAAACAAAAUGAUAAAUGCAUAUAUAUAUAUUUCUAAAUGUAGUCGGUCCACGUUCUCGAACCUUUAUAGUCCGGCAUGACAAUUGUUUUAUAAUUGUUUAGCUUACGACAAAUCAAGUACAUUAUAUUGCACUUUUAGUGGUGAGGUACGAAUUCAUUGUGUAAAUUUUGUAAAGUUAGUACCGAAUCUUUGAUAGAUAUUACAGUAAUUGCCUCUUUGUUCUGCAAUCUAUGACGCAUGGAGCUACGUUAGCUUACGUUUUGACACAUAAUUUGGACUUUG